CAGCAGCCGCGGUAAUACGUAGGGACCAAGCGUUGUUCGGAUUUACUGGGCGUAAAGGGCGCGUAGGCGGCAAUUCAAGUCAUCUGUGAAAUCUCCGGGCUUAACUCGGAACGGUCAGAUGAUACUGCUUUGCUAGAGUAUAGAAGGGGCAAUCGGAAUUCUUGGUGUAGCGGUGAAAUGCGUAGAUAUCAAGAGGAACACCUGAGGUGAAGACGGGUUGCUGGGCUGAUACUGACGCUGAGGCGCGAAAGCUAGGGUAGCAAACGGGAUUAGAUACCCCAGUAGUCCCUGUCUCUUAUAC
rnacentral:rRNA from 1 species